AUUGAACGCUAGCGGCAGGCUUAACACAUGCAAGUCGAGCGAGUGGCGGACGGGUGAGUAAUGUAUGGGAACCUGCCCGCUAGCGGGGGAUCACUACUCGAAAAGGUCGCUAAUACCGCAUCCUAUUAGAUCUGCCGAGAUGGGAUUAGCUAGUGGGUGGGGUAAAGGCUCACCCAGGCGAAGAUCCCUCGCUGGUUUGAGAGGACGACCAGCCACACGGGGACUGAGACACGGCCCAGACUCCUACGGGAGGCAGCAGUGGGGAAUAGUGCACAAUGGGGGCAAGCCGGAUACAGCCAUGCCGCGUGUGAGGAAGGCCUUCGGGUUGUAAAGGACUUUUGGCAAGGAGGCGGUAUGCGCAGAAUAAGCACCGGCUAACUACGUGCCAGCAGCCGCGGUAAUAC
rnacentral:rRNA from 1 species